AAUGGAGCUUCGUAUGGAACCCUCUUCGCGUCAAAACACCAGCUUUUGAGUCUGGGAGUCGUCCCUGACUCAAUGGUUCGCCUCUCCUAUCUUCAAGUGCCGAGAUAGGCUAGACACACCAUUGAUGCAGGGGUUACUCUGGAACCUUGGAGCUCAUGUUUGGCUUGAAGAGAGUUCCAUGUUGCGUUCCAUU